rnacentral:rRNA from 1 species
UUACGGUCAAAUCACGCUGAAACACCGGUUCUCGUACGAUCACCGAAGUUAAGCAGCGUAGAGCCAGGUCAGUACUUAGAUGGGGGACCGCUUGGGAACACCUGGUAGUGUAU